rnacentral:rRNA from 1 species
GUGAGGAAUUUUCCGCAAUGGGCGAAAGCCUGACGGAGCAAUGCCGCGUGAAGGAUGAAGGCCUAUGGGUUGUAAACUUCUUUUCUCAGAAAAGAAUUAUGACGGUAUCUGAGGAAUAAGCAUCGGCUAACUCUGUGCCAGCAGCCGCGGUAAGACAGAGGAUGCAAGCGUUAUCCGGAAUGAUUGGGCGUAAAGCGUCUGUAGGUUGUUUAAAAAGUAUUCUGUCAAAGAUUAGGGCUUAACCCUAGAUAGGCAGAAUAAACUUUUAAGCUAGAGUUUGGUAGAGGCAGAGGGAAUUCCCGGUGGAGCGGUGAAAUGCGUAGAUAUCGGGAGGAACACCAAAGGCGAAGGCACUCUGCUGGGCCAAUACUAACACUGAGAGACGAAAGCGAGGGGAGCAAAUGGGAUUAGAAACCCUAUAGUCC